rnacentral:lncRNA from 1 species
AUCAGAUUCAAAGUUUUAUAUUUCAAUAAUCAGAAAUAUUAUUUUAAUCAAUAUUUUACUAAUAUACUUCAUUAUCUACACAUUACAAACCCUAAUCAUCUUUAUAAACACUACAUUCUCUCUCUAUCCAGGACUCUGUCGUCUCUCUCUCUACAUCAACGCUUCUGCCGGCUACAAACUCCGGCGAUGGACCAAUCCAGCCUCGUCACGAUGUGAAGAUGUGGUUGGUGCAGGUCCCUCGCUCGACGGCUGAAGCAAUGUGAAGAGGUGGUUUGCAACCGCCUCGAUUCGUUGCGAUGUGAAGCAGUGGAGGUGCUACGGGGUUGAUUGCGUGGCGGUUGUGAAUUUUGAAGGGCGGCGAUGUGAAGCACUGGUUUGCAACCGCUUCGAUUCUGUGGAGUGGGACAAUACAAUGGUUUCGUUGGGGGUGGUGGCGGUAUAGUGUGGAUUGUGGUGGUAAUAGGGUAUUGUCGUACUAGGCUGUUGUAGAUGUGGUGGUGAUGUGGUGGUUGAGUGAGUGGGUGAUGAGCGGUGGUGGUGGAGGCGUGCGGUUCUGUGGUGGGGACGGAGGUGCUGUAGAUUUGUGGCGGAUUUGUGGGAACGGUUCUGUAGGAACGAUUUUGUGGUGGAUUUAUGGUUGUGUGGUCAUUUGUG